AAGUCGUAACAAGGUUUCCGUAGGUGAACCUGCGGAAGGAUCAUUAACACGAAUUUUAUCCAAUAUCAAACUAAACGCGAACUUUUCCCCUCCCUAUCUCAAACUUAUGUUUGAUUUAGGCUAACCUUUUUAAACAAACAUUUUUAACCACUUUUAAUUUGCUAAGUCAUUGGUUAACGCCUUGACUAACUAACUAAAAAUAUUCAACUUAAGAUGACAUUCGUUGUCUCUUAAAUUAAUAUUUUUUCUUUACGAAAUAAAUAUUAGUAUAUAAGAACAACUCUUAGCAAUGGAUAUCUUGGUUCUC
rnacentral:misc_RNA from 1 species